GGAUCCAGACUUUGAUCCUGGCUCAGGACGAACGCUGGCGGCGUGCUUAACACAUGCAAGUCGAACGAGAAUCUGAUGACGGAGUUUUCGGACAACUGAUUCAGAGGACAGUGGCGGACGGGUGAGUAACGCGUGAGGAACCUGCCUUUCAGAGGGGGACAACAGUUGGAAACGACUGCUAAUACCGCAUGAAGCGUAUUGAUCGCAUGGUCGAUACGCCAAAGAUUUAUCGCUGAAAGAUGGCCUCGCGUCUGAUUAGCUAGUUGGUGAGGUAACGGCCCACCAAGGCGACGAUCAGUAGCCGGACUGAGAGGUUGAACGGCCACAUUGGGACUGAGAUACGGCCCAGACUCCUACGGGAGGCAGCAGUGGGGAAUAUUGGGCAAUGGGCGCAAGCCUGACCCAGCAACGCCGCGUGAAGGAAGAAGGCUUUCGGGUUGUAAACUUCUUUUGUCGGGGACGAGUAGAAGACGGUACCUGACGAAUAAGCCACGGCUAACUACGUGCCAGCAGCCGCGGUAAUACGUAGGUGGCAAGCGUUGUCCGGAUUUACUGGGUGUAAAGGGCGUGUAGCCGGGAGGGCAAGUCAGAUGUGAAAUCCAC
rnacentral:rRNA from 1 species